rnacentral:rRNA from 1 species
AAUCUUGUGCAAUGGGCGAAAGUCUGACGCAGCCAUGCCGCGUGAAUGAUGAAGCUCUCAGGAUUGUAAACUUCUUUCACUGGGGACGAUAAUGACGGUACCCGGAGAAGAAGACCCGGCUAACUUCGUGCCAGCAGCCGCGGUAAUACGAAGGGGGCUAGCGUUGCUCGGAAUUAUUGGGCGUAAAGGGCGCGUAGGCGGACAUUUAAGUCAGGGGUGAAAUCCCAGAGCUCAACUCUGGAACUGCCUUUGAUACUGGGUGUCUUGAGUGUGAGAGAGGUGUGUGGAACUCCGGGUGUAGAGGUGAAAUUCGUAGAUAUUCGGAAGAACACCAGUGGCGAAGGCGACAUACUGGCUCAUUACUGACGCUGAGGCGCGAAAGCGUGGGGAGCAAACA